rnacentral:rRNA from 1 species
CCUUGAAAGAGUGCGUAAUAGCUCAAUGGUCAAGUGAUCCUGCGCCGACAAUGUAGCGGGGCUCAAGUACACCGCCGAAGCCGCGGCAUUAAUAACACCCAUGCGGGUCUACGGGCCUGUGGCAGUGGUGUGGAUGGGUAGGGGAGCGUCGUGCAGCCAUGGAAGGCCGGAGUGAUCCAGGUGUGGAGGCUGCACGAGUGAGAAUGCAGGCAUGAGUAGCGAAAGACGAGUGAGAAACUCGUCCGCCGAAUGACCAAGGGUUCCUGGGCCAGGUUAAUCCGCCCAGGGUGAGUCGGGACCUAAGGCGAGGCGACAGGCGUAGUCGAUGGACAACGGGUUGAUAUUCCCGUAACCGUGUGAACGCGCCCUGGUGAAUCAGUGAUGCUAAGGCCUGAAGCCGCCUUCGAACCUUCGGGUUCUCCGGUGUGUGGAUGCGCGUGAACCGAUCUGGUAGUAGCCAAGCGAUGGGGUGACGCAGGAAGGUAGCUGAGCCAGUCAGUGGUAAUACUGGUGUAAGCGUGUAGGCGUGACUAGGCAAAUCCGGGUCACAUACAGCCUGAGACGUGAUGCGUAGCCGAUUGAGGCGAAUUCAGUGAUCCUAUGCUGCCGAGAAAAGCCUCUAGCGAGCUUUCACACGGCCCGUACCCCAAACCGACACAGGUGGUCAGGUAGAGAAUACUAAGGCGAUCGAGAUAACUGUGGUUAAGGAACUCGGCAAAAUGCCCCCGUAACUUCGGGAGAAGGGGGGCUCGUCUGGUGACGGAACUUGCUUCCUGAGCUGGGUGGGGCCGCAGAGACCAGAGAGAAGCGACUGUUUACUAAAAACACAGGUCCGUGCGAAGUCGUAAGACGAUGUAUACGGACUGACGCCUGCCCGGUGCUGGAAGGUUAAGAGGACCGGUUAGCCAGUAAUGGCGAAGCUGAGAAUUUAAGCCCCAGUAAACGGCGGUGGUAACUAUAACCAUCCUAAGGUAGCGAAAUUCCUUGUCGGGUAAGUUCCGACCUGCACGAAUGGCGUAACGACUUCUCUGCUGUCUCAACCACAGACUCGGCGAAAUUGCAUUACGAGUAAAGAUGCUCGUUACGCGCGGCAGGACGAAAAGACCCCGGGACCUUCACUAUAGCUUGGUAUUGGUGUUCGGUUCGGUUUGUGUAGGAUAGGUGGGAGACUGUGAAGCGGGCACGCCAGUGUUCGUGGAGUCGUUGUUGAAAUACCACUCUGAUCGUAUUGGACAUCUAACCUCGGACCAUGAUCUGGUUCAGGGACAGUGCCUGGUGGGUAGUUUAACUGGGGCGGUUGCCUCCCAAAAUGUAACGGAGGCGCCCAAAGGUUCCCUCAGCCUGGUUGGCAAUCAGGUGUCGAGUGCAAGUGCACAAGGGAGCUUGACUGUGAGACUGACAGGUCGAGCAGGGACGAAAGUCGGGACUAGUGAUCCGGCACCGGCAAGUGGAAGCGGUGUCGCUCAACGGAUAAAAGGUACCCGGGGAUAACAGGCUGAUCUUCCCCAAGAGUCCAUAUCGACGGGAUGGUUUGGCACCUCGAUGUCGGCUCGUCGCAUCCUGGGGCUGGAGUAGGUCCCAAGGGUUGGGCUGUUCGCCCAUUAAAGCGGCACGCGAGCUGGGUUUAGAACGUCGUGAGACAGUUCGGUCUCUAUCCGCCGCGCGCGUUAGAAACUUGAGGAAGGCUGUCCCUAGUACGAGAGGACCGGGACGGACGAACCUCUGGUGUGCCAGUUGUUCCGCCAGGAGCACUGCUGGUUAGCUACGUUCGGAAGGGAUAACCGCUGAAAGCAUCUAAGCGGGAAGCCUGUUCCAAGAUGAGGUUUCUCACCCCCUCGAGGGGGUAAGGCCCCCGGCAGACCACCGGGUUGAUAGGCCAGAACUGGAAGCACAGUAAUGUGUGGAGGUGACUGGUACUAAUAGGCCGAGGACUUACCACAA